GUGUUUAACAGAGGUUAAUUUAUAAACUCAAAAUAAUAACCAUGUUAUAAUUUUUUACAGUGUUACCUUGGUAACGAGCGCCUAAACAACGGUGACAGUUUGCUAACUGCAAAUAUAACAGGACUAGCUAGCUUAAAAUAUGUAGUUUUAGCUAGCAGCUAAUGCUGUUUAUUAUCAAGCUAAAGGCAAACAGGUGUUAUGUCUUUAUAAUACUUCUAGCUGGUAAAAUUCUAUUUGUAAGCUGCCUGUCUGAUGAUGACCCAUAUGCUUCAGGAUACACAACAUUUACUACACAAGACACACACUGUUGGAGUUUUGUGUCAGUCCUGCACUGGGAGAAGAUUUCUGACCACCUGAGUUCACAGAGGGAAGCUGCUGUAGUCUUCUGUCCGGCUCCCUGCGCUGCAUCAAGGAAAUCUAAGGGGACGUCUUUCCACAAAACAUCUUCGGCAUUGAAAACAGAAAGAUUAUGAUUUAUGUUUUUAUUUCUUGCAUGUAAAUACAACAAAACAGAUUAAAACU